ACUCCUCAACGGGUUUGCUGCGCGGAUAUCUUCGAUUCACUGCUUUAGGUGAGCCAUCCUCGGAUAUCAUGGAGCUGCAUUUGCAUUUUGGAAUAAGGAAUAUGUUUUCUCCUGCGUUUCGAACGAAGGGUGGGAACGUCAUCGGAUCGGUGCAACAUCUCCCGGGUUUCUCCAUGUACAACGUGUGAUGGUGCUUUUCUCGUAGACGUUUCUCUGGACAGACAGUGAGAGAGAAGCCGUUGAUCCACUGAUGAUGUUGGUCUGUUUACAGAUUAUAGAAAAACCUGUGCUUGUGGAUCUACAUCGGAUGACCAUGGCAACCCAGGUGUGGAAAUAUUUGACUGUUUUUAAUCUGAAAUCUGUGUAAUCUAAGAUGGACAAUUCUUCUGACACCAUAUGAAUGCAUACUGUCGUCUGGCAGAAGCUAGAUCAUUUAGAUUAUAAAGUUAUAUGUUUUUACACAUGCAUCUAUUUGCUUCAGAAGGCCUUUAUUAAAGGAUUAGUUCACCUCAAAAUGAACAUUUCCUGAUCAUUAAAGGAAUAGUCUACUCAUUUUCAAUAUUAAACUAUGUUAUUACCUUAACUAAGAAUUGUUGAUACAUCCCUCUAUCAUCUGUGUGCGUG